GACUCUUUUUGUGAAGACACAAAGAUGAACAAGCUCUGAUCCCUGACUCUGAGAAGUUCAGUUCUGAGAAGUCUAUUUCCCAUGUCCCCACACCUCAUCUGUACGUGAAGAUAAGCCAGAUGGUCUUGAAGGGCUCACCUCAUCCCAAAAACCAGUGGUUCCACACCCAGAUCACAGGAGAGACUACAUCUCUAGGAAUCAUCACACCAGGCAACAGAUUACAGGUGAGUAUUUUAGAUAUUUUGUUGAUACUUGUGUGCUGUUUUAAAAUCACAUUUGGUCUCUGGUAGGACACAGGGCAGAGAUGCCCUGUCAUUAUGUCGCCUGUUUUGAAAUAAGGAGAGUAGGUGGCUUUCAUCUUCAGAAAAUUUGCUUAACAAUCAGAACCUCUAAAAUUGCAUGCCAAGUUUAUUUGUGCAUAUGUAUUUUUUUGUUAAGAAAAUAAUCCCUAGCUUUCAUAAAAUACACAAAGAGAUUGUGAUUCUCUCCAAAUUAAAAUUACUUGUAUAGAAAGCCUAUAGCAAUUAGAUAGUUUACAAAGUUUUUCACUCAUGGCUCAAGGACUUGUAUUCAUUUCUUUCUUCUUUCUUUCAUCCACUCACUUAGCAAAUAUUGAUUGAAUGUCCGCUAUGUGCUAAAAGCAGGGAAAAUCCAGCAAUAAAUAAAACAUAAAAUUCCUGCCAUAAUCCUCGGGAGACAGGCAAAUAAGCAACUGACUGAAGUAGAAAAUCAGGUAGCAGUAAAAGUGAGGAAGGGAUAUGAAGCAGAAGUGGAGUGGAGCAUUCUGAGUGGGGUGGGCUUGGGCGUUAGGGCUUCAGACAGGAGAUCAGGGAAGGAGGUCCUGGGGAGGAGGCCGGAAUGAAGUCCAGGAGAAAGCCACUCUCAUAUCUGGGUGAAGGGCAUUGCAGGCACUAUUUGAGGCUUGGUUUCAUUUUUUAUUUUUAUUUUUUUUGAGAUGGAAUCUCACUCUGUUGCCCAGGCUGGAGUGCAGGGGAACCAUCUUGGCUCAAUGCAACCUCUGCCUCCCGGAUUCAAGCAAUUCUCCUGCCUGAGCCUCCUGAGUUGCUGGGAUUACAGGUGCCUGCCACCAUGCCCCACUAAGUUUUGUAUUUUUAGUAGAGAUGGGGUUUCACCAUGUUGGCCAGGCUGGUCUUGAACUCCUGACCUCAAGUGAUCCACCUGCUUCAGCCUCCCAAAGUGCUGGGAUUACAGGCGUGAGCCACUGCACCUGGCCUCAUCUUUAAUUUUUUAAUGCUGACUUUUCUCUUGCAUAUGGUCUUGCUUACUUUUUGUUGCUACUUAAAAAAACAAAAACAAACUAUUUUUCUUUCACAGGCCUAAUGGAUGUAAAUUUCUGCUCCUAAUUUCCUUUCCCCUAAACAAGGAUGUUUGACUAGCUGAUUCUUCAAAACGUUAACAUGUGUAGUGGCUAUUGUUUUAUUGUUGUUAUAAACUUCACAGGUUUCAAAGCUCUCCCAAACUCAGUAACAAUCUGGCCUAUGCCAUAAAUUCCCUAAUUCAUCCAACAAAUUUUCACAAAAGAGUAAAAUAUAUGCCCUGGCUUUGGAAGAACUUAAAAAUCUAACAGAUAUAUAAUUCUUGGAAAGUUCAGCCAUCCUCUAUGGCUGCGCCCAAUUGCAAGGGAAUUAUUCCUAUUUCUUAGGGUAGUUUUACCAGCGUCUAACUCGGCUGGCACCCAUGUCAUGGUGCUGACAAAGGCAUAUUCACAUCGAGCUAUGGGGAUAUUCAGGGUCAAUAUUGAGACUCAUGGUGGGGAGAAACGUGUGUUCAGUAGGAUUUGAAGGAAGGAUUUAAAAUAAUGUGCUGAGGAUCAGUUUUCAGCAAAAGUACUGUUUUUCACAUUGAACUAAUUUCUUUAGCUUAUAACCACAACACUGAGCAAAAAACACCAAUAACAAAUGCAUAACAAAGACAAAAAGAAGAGAAAAGAAAGACCUCACGAAACUGCAAAGCUUGAUGAUCCUACCAUAUAUAAAAGAACCACUGGGAAUUGUCUAGUCUAGAAAUGAAAAUCAUGAUGCAGGAAUGCAGCUAUGAGUGUCACUUGGAGCUUUGGGAACGGACAUGUGCUAUGCCUUCAGCUUCGAGCAGUUCUUGAACUCCAGCGUGCGUCAGAAUCACAAGGAGGGCCUGUUAAAAUGCAAGUUACUGGCCCCCACACAUGGUUUCUGAUUCACUAGGUUUGGGGCAGGGCCUGGGAAUUUUUAAUUUCUGACAGUUCCUCGAAUACGCUGCUGCUGCUGGAGUCCGUUUUGAGAUAGGGUGCCUUUGAGAAUUCCCAGGUGGCCCAGAUGGGAGAAUCGCUGCUGGGCUUCAGAGGAUGUCCCAGCAGUUAGAAUGUUGUAAGGACACGUCGCAGAAAGCCUUGAAAGCAAAGUGGCCAGGUUGUGACUCUGGUAGGCAAAACAGGCAGGUUCAUCCUCCUGGUAUGCAGCUACUGAGAUGCAAGGUGCUUUUUAAACAUUGUGCAGCUCUUAGAUUGGUGCCCCAGGGAAGGACAGGCCCCAUCAAGGCUAGCCAAGAGCAGAUUGAUUACAUCUGUGGCCAAAGUGUAGGCGAUAAAAUGUCAUCCAUCAGAUUCUCUAAUCACCGGUGAACAUGAAAUAAGGCAAAUCAGCUGAAGAGUCUUUCAGUAAGUAAAAAUAAUAAAAUGCCUAAACUGCUUUCUAUUCUACAAGCUAAGUGGUAUUUAUUUUAGUAAUAAAGAUGCUCUUUAAAUGAAAAUGCAUCAGAUCGAGAGGAUACAUUUGGCCAGUGUGAAUUAAAAGAGUUUAUAUGCAUUCAUUCUGUGAAUUCCAAAACAAAAACUAUUUCUGAUCUUGAAGAAUCUAACCAUGACCAAUGAGGUAUCAUGAAAUUAAAGUUCUACAUUUUCCUCUGUGUAAUAAAUAUGAACUACAUGACAGGUAAUAGGAACUACUUUAUUUACAAACUAUUCAAUGCUUACACUGAAAAACAGUCACCUCCUAUUUCAGGAAAAAGUGUUUCAAACAUGCAGAAAAUUUGGAGAAAGCUCUGAAAAAAUUAUCUAUAUGAUUAGAAUAGCAAGAAAAGCAAACCAUUUGGACAAGCAAGAGAUAUAUGAUGGUUAAUUUUAUGUGUCAACUUGGCAAGGCUAUGGUGCACAGUUGUUUGACCAGUCUAGAUAUUGCUGUGAAAGUAUUUUUCAGAUGUGAUUAGUAUUUGAAUCAGUAGGUUCUGUGUAAGGCAGAGUAGGCUUUGUAAUGCAGGUGAAACUCAUCCAAUCAGUUGAAGGCCUUAAGAGGAAAGACUGAGGUUUCCUGAAGAGGAAGGAAUUCUGCCCUAAGACCGCAACAUAGAAAUCCUGCUUGGAAAUUCAAGGAAUUGGGACUAAAGACUGCAAGAUCAACUCUUAGCAGAACUUCCAGGCUGACUGCUUGCUUUAUGGAUUUUGGACUUGCCAGCCCCACAAUUAUGUAAGCCAAAUUAAAAUCUCUCUCUUCCUG
ensembl:lncRNA novel transcript